GUCCUGAGUAAAUCAUAGGUUUAUUAUCACCAAGUGUGAACAUGGAGGAAACAUCUCUAGUGCGGCUGAUCUUUGUGACGUCUCUGCUGUGGUGCCAGGCAAACCAAACCAAGACAAACCAAGCGUCUCUGACUGUGAGUCCCAGCAGCUCUCAGCUGUUUAGUGAAGAGUUUGUGAGUCUGACGUGUGUGGAGGACGACAACUCUGCUGGAUGGACGGUGUGGAGAAACACAACUGAAGGACGAGUGUCUCAGUGUGGAGACAGCUGGGGAAGACCAAAUGCUCCUUCCUGUAUCAUCAGUAUGGCACUGACAUGGGACAGUGGAGUUUACUGGUUUUCUGGAGUCCAGAGAGGGAUCAACCAGUACCAUCAUCAACAUCACUGUUGUUUCUGUCAAAUCAGUGAUCCUGCAGAGUCCUGUCCUCCCUGUGAUGGAGGGACAUGAUGUCACUCUGCACUGUCAAACAAAGAGCCCUCCCUCCAAGCUCCCAGCUGAUUUCUAUAAAGAUGGCUCCCUCUUCAGGACUGAGCCUACAGGUCACACGACCAUCCACCAUGUUACCAAGUCUGAUGAAGGCCUCUACAAGUGUCACAUCAGCAGUCAUGGAGAGUCUCCACCCAGCUGGAUCUCUGUCACAGGUCAGGAGGAAAACUUGGAUUUCAACAUUUAUUACAUCCACACAUUCACCUGAGCAUGUGGAUUCUCUCUACAGGGAGACCUACAACUACAACAACACCCUCAUCAACCAUUGCAGCCCCAACUUCUACACAACCGGCAACUCCUACCUCUUCGUCCCAGCCACCUGACUCAACCUCCCUCCAGCUUGUGUUCAGACUGAUCUAUUACCUGUUGGUGUUCUGUCCGUUCUUCACCUCCACUCUCCUCAUGGUGUCUUUAUAUCAACACAGACCCACAGGUAACUCUGAAUCAGUCACUGACCUCAACAAUCAAUAAAUAACACAAAUAUUCUGAAUCUCCUUCUCUGAUCCUUCACCACAUGUUUUUCCUUCAGCUUCAGAGAGGAACUGACUGAACAGACAGGAAACAACCAGCAGGUGGCAGCACGACAACUUGAAGAAGCAGCAGAAGAAGUGGAGCUGAAGUUUCCACCUCAACUCAAACUCCAAGUGUAAAAUAAAGAAUAGAAACUAAACGAGGUUGUGCUGUUGUAAUGUGACAGUGGCUGCAUGUUUGAAUCAUAUCAAUAAAGGUUUCUCAUCUUUGUGAACUCACAGAGUCAGUGAAUUAUUUGAGAGGAGCUUUUUGCAAACA
rnacentral:lncRNA from 1 species